CCUACGGGGGGCAGCAGUGGGGAAUUUUGCACAAUGGGCGAAAGCCUGAUGCAGCGACGCCGCGUGGAGGAUGAAGGCCUUCGGGUUGUAAACUCCUUUUGUAGGGGACAAUGAUGAUGGUACCCUACGAAUAAGCCACGGCUAACUCUGUGCCAGCAGCCGCGGUAAGACAGAGGUGGCGAGCGUUGUUCGGAAUCACUGGGCUUAAAGGGCGCGUAGGUGGUAGUGUAAGUCUGGGGUGGAAUCCUACGGCUUAACCGUAGAACUGCCUUGGAAACUG
rnacentral:rRNA from 1 species